rnacentral:rRNA from 1 species
CCUACGGGAGACUGCAGUGGGGAAUAUUGCACAAUGGGGGAAACCCUGAUGCAGCGACGCCGCGUGAGUGAAGAAGUAUUUCUGUAUGUAAAGCUCUAUCAGCAGGGAAGAAAUCGCGACCUUUGGGUCGCCAGACGGUACCUGAUUCAGAAGCCCCGGCUAACUACGUGCCAGCAGCCGCGGUAAUACGUAGGGGGCAAGCGUUAUCCGGAUUUACUGGGUGUAAAGGGCGAGUAGGCGGGAUUGCAAGUCAGAUGUGAAAACUAUGGGCUCAACCGAGAGAGUGCAUUUGAAACUGCAGUUCUUGAGAGAUGGAGAGGCAGGCGGAAUGCCCGGUGUAGCGGUGGAAUGCGUAGAGAUC